GAGCUCGGUACGCGGUUUGUCACGUCGUCUGUGAAAUCCCUCGGCUUAACCGGGGGCGUGCAGACGAUACGGGCAGACUUGAGUACUACAGGGGAGACUGGAAUUCCUGGUGUAGCGGUGAAAUGCGCAAAUUUUCAGGAAGGAACCCCCGGUGGCAAAGGCGGUCUCUCUGGGUAUUAACUGACGCUGAGGAGCGAAAGCAUGGGUAGCGAACAGGAUUAGAUACCCUGGUAGUCCAUGCCGUAAACGGUGGGCGCUAGGUGUGGGGUCCUUCCACGGACUCCGUGCCGUAGUUAACGCAUUAAGCGCCCCGCCUGGGGAGUACGGCCGCAAGGCUAAAACUCAAAGGAAUUGACGGGGGCCCGCACAAGCGGCGGAGCAUGUGGAUUAAUUCGAUGCAACGCGAAGAACCUUACCUAGGCUUGACAUAUACAGGACGACGGCAGAGAUGUCGUUUCCCUUUGUGGCUUGUAUACAGGUGGUGCAUGGUUGUCGUCAGCUCGUGUCGUGAGAUGUUGGGUUUAAGUCCCGCAACGAGCGCAACCCCUGUCUCAUGUUGCCAGCACGUAAUGGUGGGGACUCGUGAGAGACUGCUCGGGGUCAACUCGGAGGAAGGUGGGGAUGACGUCAAAUCAUCAUGCCCCUUAUGUCUAGGGCUUCACACAUGUUACAAUGGCUAGUACAGAGGGCUGCGAUACCGCGAGGUGGAGCGAAUCCCUUAAAGCUGGUCUCAGUUCGGAU
rnacentral:rRNA from 1 species